rfam:Loxodonta africana unplaced genomic scaffold scaffold_139, whole genome shotgun sequence.
ACAAAGGCUCUUUUCAGAGCCACUCACACUAUCAAAGAAAAAGCU